UACGAAGGGGGCUAGCGUUGCUCGGAAUCACUGGGCGUAAAGGGUGCGUAGGUGGCGCUGUAAGUCGGGUGUGAAAUCCUGAGGCUUAACCUCGGAACUGCAUUCGAUACUGCGGCGCUUGAGGACUGGAGAGGAGACUGGAAUUCAUGGUGUAGCAGUGAAAUGCGUAGAGAUCAUGAGGAAGACCAGUGGCGAAGGCGGGUCUCUGGACAGUUCCUGACACUGAGGCACGAAAGCUAGGGGAGCAAACAGG
rnacentral:rRNA from 1 species